rnacentral:rRNA from 1 species
GACGAACGCUGGCGGCGGGCUUAACACAUGCAAGUCGAACGGAAAGGCCCGGCUUUUGGGGGGUGCUCGAGUGGCGAACGGGUGAGUAACACGUGAGUAACCUGCCCUUGACUUUGGGAUAACGUCAGGAAACUGGGGCUAAUACCGGAUAGGAGCUCCUGCUGCAUGGUGGGGGUGGGAAAGUUUCGGCGGUUGGGGAUGGACUCGCGGCUUAUCAGCUUGUUGGUGGGGUAGUGGCUUACCAAGGCUUUGACGGGUAGCCGGCCUGAGAGGGUGACCGGCCACAUUGGGACUGAGAUACGGCCCAGACUACUCCGGGAGGCAGCAGUGGGGAAUAUUGCACAAUGGGCGGAAGCCUGAUGCAGCCACGCCGCGUGCGGGAUGACGGCAUUCGGGUUGUAAACCGAUUUCGCCUGUGACGAAGCGUGAGUGACGGUACUGGGUAAAGAAGCACCGGCUAACUACGUG